rnacentral:rRNA from 1 species
GACGAACGCUGGCGGCGUGCUUAACACAUGCAAGUCGAACGGAAAGGCCCUGCUUUUGUGGGGUGCUCGAGUGGCGAACGGGUGAGUAACACGUGAGUAACCUGCCCUUGACUUUGGGAUAACUUCAGGAAACUGGGGCUAAUACCGGAUAGGAGCUCCUGCUGCAUGGUGGGGGUUGGAAAUUUUCGGCGGUUGGGGAUGGACUCGCGGCUUAUCAGCUUGUUGGUGGGGUAGUUGCUUACCAAGGCUUUGACGGGUAGCCGGCCUGAGAGGGUGACCGGCCACAUUGGGACUGAGAUACGGCCCAGACUCCUACGGGAGGCAGCAGUGGGGAAUAUUGCACAAUGGGCGGAAGCCUGAUGCAGCAACGCCGCGUGCGGGAUGACGGCCUUCGGGUUGUAAACCGCUUUCGCCUGUGACGAAGCGUGAGUGACGGUAAUGGGUAAAGAAGCACCGGCUAACUACGUG